CGAGGUAUCAAAAUUUAUUCGCAUGUCAUCCGUUUAUCCCAAACCAAUGUUUUCUCAAACGGAGAGUGAUGUUUACAAUAUACCUUUCUAUACGAAGGCCUAAAGUUUGAUCUAUUUUCGGUUGAACCAGCAAUUUCACUCAGCUAUCACACGCAAAGUUAAGUAACCAAAAUAUCACAGACAAUUACUUACUCAAAGAAAUAGCAAAAAUUACUGCAACGAGGAGUUUCAUCGAGAUAAUAAAUUAGUGAAAGCAUUAUUAAGAGAGAGUGAACAAAUGAAGAACUACGACAAUAUUCACGUGAAUACAUGCACGUACUGAACAUGAA